GAGAGACGCGCAACUCCGCUCCGCACUGUGCGCCAGCAUCCCCGGGGCCCCGAGGGCGCUCAGGCCCGCCCGGAGACCCCCCGCCCAGGCUGGAGCCGGGCCCUGGGGCCCAGGGAGCGGCUUUAAAGAGUAAGAGCAGCGCACCCGGCUCCCUCCUGCUAAUUAGCCUUCAGAUUCCCCUCUGGCCUCAGUGCUCAUUCCGGGGAAGACACCUGCUGAGAUGUCUUUUUCCCCCUCCCCCAACCAAACCACUCAGGUCCUGCCUGCUCUUUCCCGGCUUGAUGCGGGCGUGUUUUCCUGUAUGUAUUUUUUCGUGCGGCCACAAACAGCAUCAGCUGGGGUUCCCGAAGGUCAGAAAAUGGCCAUUGAUUAAUCUAUUAGAAUAGUUGCCGAGAGAAAUAAAAAGGACGUAAAAUAACAGGGAACCUAUAAAUAAAGAAGCCAUAACUGGCUACUUGGAGUUGUUAAACGACUUAGCAUAUGAAAAAAUCGGAAAUGAGGCGCUGGGGAAGGAGCUGGGAUUGGCAGCGGCCUGGGUGUGGACAAAUCCUCCAAGAUUUAACUUCCAAGGAAACCGGCGGCGGAGCGGGUGGAGGAGGCGAGGAUGUGUGGCCAGUGCACGCGGAGUGCAAGGCCGCCUAGUUGGGAGCCGCAAGAGCCUGCCUGGUGUGGCAGGCACACGGAACCCAAUCCCUGUCUGUCUGCUGCGGCCUGGGAGGGGAGCGCCGGCCUCACCAGAGGAAGGAGCACGAGGGGAGGAGUUCCUAGAGGAAAUAAUUAGUGAAAUAUUUGCGGAAGAUGCUGGGAUGUGGAUUUAAUUCCACAUGGACAGUGGUGCUUCUGAUUCCCUCAGUCUGUUUCCCUUGGCCUAGACACAUCAAAAAUAAUUCAUUAAAAUAAAAAUAAAAAUUUAAAAACC
rnacentral:antisense_RNA from 1 species